rnacentral:rRNA from 1 species
GACGAACGCUGGCGGCGUGCUUAACACAUGCAAGUCGAACGGAAAGGCCCUGCUUGCAGGGUACUCGAGUGGCGAACGGGUGAGUAACACGUGGGUGAUCUGCCCUGCACUUCGGGAUAAGCCUGGGAAACUGGGUCUAAUACCGGAUAGGAGCCAUUUUUAGUGUGAUGGUUGGAAAGUUUUUUCGGUGUAGGAUGAGCUCGCGGCCUAUCAUCUUGUUGGUUGGGUAAUGGCCUACCAAGGCGGCGACGGGUCGCCGGCCUGAGAGGGUGGACGGCCACAUUGGGACUGAGAUACGGCCCAGACUCCUACGGGAGGCAGCAGUGGGGAAUAUUGCACAAUGGGCGCAAGCCUGAUGCAGCGACGCCGCGUGGGGGAUGACGGCCUUCGGGUUGUAAACUCCUUUCGCUAGGGACGAAGCUUUUGUGACGGUACCUAGAUAAGAAGCACCGGCUAACUACGUG